GGCUUAAUAAUAACAACAAAAUAAUAAUGCUAGCUAACACUUAGAAAACCUUUGCUCAGUGCCCUGUACUAUUCUGAGUCUCUACCUAAAUUAACCAAUUAACCCAUACACUGUAUGCUCUAUCUUCGGGCCUGACACCAUUUUGCUCUAGCCCCAUGGACUGCUACCUGUCAGGGAGCUAAGCAAAGAUACCAUAAGGGAGCCAGUAUUUCCUGAACAUGCACAAUGUGCCAGGCACCAUCUGUGCAUUCUUUCACUAAAUCCUCGCGCUAUCCUAGUGUGACAUCAGUUCAUACUUGUUCUUUACAGAUGAGCAAACUGAGGCUUGCAAAGAUCCUGGGUGUCAUUCAGCCAAAACUGGCACCAAGGAUGCAGAUGAGGGUUUGUCUGUCUGCCUGUCUAGUCUGCAUAUCUUUGUUGCACCCGUCCCCCUCCCCCCAACCCCCAACAUAAGCACUCUCCCAGCCCAAGUCCAGGGCACAUGGCUUCCUUCCAUCCACCUGUUUUCCUUGCUUCUCCCUGACAAGAGAGCAAAGUCUGGCCAGGGCACCUCCUUAGCUACUGAUUUGUUAUGGGAACCGAAGGGAUUCUGUACCUCAGUGUUGGCCUAGUUAAAGUGUAUCCUCAGGGCUGAUGGCAGGAUGGGACGUCACUGUGGGAGAAUUCUCUGGAGCUCAGGCCCCACAGAGCUGCUCACCUGCUGAGGCGCCUGAGCAGUCAGACCCCUCCCUUCAGAUGGAUUUUCCUACCGGGAACUCUGGCUUAACUCCUUUGUGACAGGACGUUACCUGAUAAUGCGUGUCUGGUGCCUAGCUCGGAGGGAUUGGAUUUAUCGAGAUGAUUUGCACCAGGGUGAAGAAAACCUGCUCCUACUUUUGACAAGAGAUUAUAGUUGGACCAACUUGCAGGAAACUUGAGUCCAGAGGUUUAGUGAGGCACCUUCAGUCCCCUCACCCCACUCGCCUUGCUGGAGCCACCUUCCCCUGGCAAAGGUGGGAAGCCAAGGUCCAGAGAACAGCAUGACUUAUCCAAAGUCAGACACUGAAUGGAGCUCAGAGCUAGAACUCAAAGCCAUGGUUCCAGACUCUGGGUCCAAGAACUCCCAUGAACUCCUUCGCUAGAGAACCUAGGUGUUGAUGAAGAUGGGUGUGGACCCAGGCGUUCAGGGAUGUGGAGAUCCAGGAACGGAAGGAAAGAAACAUAUGCCAUUCAUGUAAAUUAGAGUAUAUUUGGCUAAUAAACACAUAAACAACCCCA